rnacentral:rRNA from 1 species
GAUGAACGCUGGCGGCGUGCCUAAUACAUGCAAGUCGAGCGAACAGACGAGGAGCUUGCUCCUCUGACGUUAGCGGCGGACGGGUGAGUAACACGUGGAUAACCUACCUAUAAGACUGGGAUAACUUCGGGAAACCGGAGCUAAUACCGGAUAAUAUAUUGAACCGCAUGGUUCAAUAGUGAAAGACGGUUUUGCUGUCACUUAUAGAUGGAUCCGCGCCGCAUUAGCUAGUUGGUAAGGUAACGGCGUACCAAGGCAACGAUGCGUAGCCGACCUGAGAGGGUGAUCGGCCACACUGGAACUGAGACACGGUCCAGACUCCUACGGGAGGCAGCAGUAGGGAAUCUUCCGCAAUGGGCGAAAGCCUGACGGAGCAACGCCGCGUGAGUGAUGAAGGUCUUCGGAUCGUAAAACUCUGUUAUUAGGGAAGAACAAAUGUGUAAGUAAAUAUGCACGUCUUGACGGUACCUAAUCAGAAAGCCACGGCUAACUACGUG